rnacentral:miRNA from 1 species
UGGUGCAACAGUCAUUGCGGUUUUUGCCAUUAAAAGUAAUGGCAAAAACCGCAAGGACUUUUGCACC